UGAUAAUGAUGAGGAUGAUGAUGAUGAGGAGGAGGAUGAUGAUGCCACAUAAUGAAACAACAACAACAUCAUCAUCAUUAUCAUCAUCAUCAUCAUCAUCAUCA
rnacentral:miRNA from 1 species